UCACUGUAAUCGGGUAGGGAAACAUCGGUGAAAGUCCGAGGCUGUGCGGCAACUGUAAGUUAGGUUAUUUCUAACAAGCCAGAAUGCCUACCGAUCA
rnacentral:ncRNA from 2 species